GAUGAACGCUGGCGGCGUGCCUAAUACAUGCAAGUCGAGCGAACAGACGAGGAGCUUGCUCCUCUGACGUUAGCGGCGGACGGGUGAGUAACACGUGGAUAACCUACCUAUAAGACUGGGAUAACUUCGGGAAACCGGAGCUAAUACCGGAUAAUAUAUUGAACCGCAUGGUUCAAUAGUGAAAGACGGUUUUGCUGUCACUUAUAGAUGGAUCCGCGCCGCAUUAGCUAGUUGGUAAGGUAACGGCUUACCAAGGCAACGAUGCGUAGCCGACCUGAGAGGGGGGCGCGCCACAUGGGACAGGAGACACGGCCGACCCCCGCGGGGGGGGGGGAAGGAGGGAUAUCUCCAAAAGGGGGGAAAGCCGGACGGACCAACGCGGAGGGGGGAAUAAUGGUCUUGGGCUCAAAAACCUUUUUUAUGAGGGAAAAAAAAAUGUGAAAGAAACUAUGCACGUCUGGAGGGGACCUAAUCAAAAGCCCAGGGAAAGGUCGGCC
rnacentral:rRNA from 1 species